CUGCUUAUCUGGCAGGGGAUAUACCAUAGUCACUUAUAGGUGGUAUACCUGAGGUGAGACUCAACCAUUGCACUUGGGAUGUGUUGACGUAUGCGAUUUCCCCAAAUGCGGGAAACUUAACUGCCUAAUUUAUGGUAGUGGAGGACUGCGUUUGUGCUCUCCCCCU